GGGCAUAUAGCUCAGUGGUAGAGUGACUGCUUAGCAUGCACCAGGUCCUGGGUUCAAUCCCCAGUACCUCCA
rnacentral:tRNA from 1 species